GACCUGGUGGCCCGAGCCUGUGGUCCCAGCUACUGGGGAGGCUGAGGCUGGAGGAUCGCUUGAGUCCAGGAGUUCUGGGCUGUAGUGCACUAUGCCAAUCGGGUGUCAGCACAAAGUUCGGCAUCAAUACGGUGACCUCCCAGGGGCGGGGGACCACCAGGUUGCCUAAG